GGGCACCUGCCUUGAAAUACCCGCGACGCUCGGAUCGGAGUCUGACGAUGGUCAGCAGGUGGCACUCUCGUUUUAGGAUUCCAGCCCCUAAAUGACAAUAACUGAGAGUCACUUUUCAUGUAGUAGAUCUGGCUCAAGACUUUUAUGAAAUGUGAAAUUUAAUAUUCAUUCCUGAAAUGAGGAUUCAUCUCUUUAAAAGCUGUUCACUAUUUCACUCCAGAUUUCUUUCAGAGUAAAUACUGAAAAGUCAAAGGACCUGUCAAGAUCAUCGGCCAUGACAGUGGCUGGAUGGAGGCCACCUCAUCCAUCUGGUCCUGGCAUUUCUGAGAAAGGACCAUGCUGAACCAUGCAGAGCAAAUUUGCAAGGUUAUAAUUCUUUGAUUUGGGUAAAGUGUCUGGUGUUGGAGCUGAGAGGCAUCAAUGGAUAAUACUUUUUAUGCUAUUUGCUCUUCUUUAGUGCUAUCUCAUGGACUGCCUCAUUGGUUGUCACAAUAAUACUGUGAGUUGGGAUUCCAUUUGAGAACCAACUCUAGUCAGCCUUCAGGCUGGUCCAUGAUCAAGGACCUACAAGACGAAGUGACAGCCCAGUGACUCUACAAGUUCACCUGUCCCUCAUCUCCACAGCCCUGCAGCAUCAAUGGGCAUGCUGUGAAUGCUGGAGGACUGACCAGCAUGCCCCGAUUGUUCUCUAUUACUUGGAGUGUUAAGUCUUAUCUCCUUGGCUAGAUUGAAAGAAUCGGGAAUAGAAGCUAUAUGCUAGAAAGCCAUGCACAGCCAGCCACUGUGGCUGUCCUACCUGGUAGCCCAGCUCACAUGAGACUGACCCAGGACACCACGGGACCACUCCAGACCCCCUGUUAACCUUUCCUGGCACAUCCAAGCAAAGGGCUGAUACUCACUGCAAGGUGGUGCCCCACCUUUCCACAGCCCAUCACCACCACCACCCUCUUCUCCAGAAUCUAGCUCUUUAGGCUAAUAUGGAAAUGAAGAAAAGAGGAUUUGUCCACGCAUGUGACUGAGGAGAUAGUUGGAGAGAUGGUCUUAGGGAAAGAAUCAACAGGAGCUGGGGCAAAUCAACAGGAGCUGGGGCAAAUCAGCAGGAACUGGGGCAAGGCAGUCUUCCAAAGGAAGGGACUAUUGAUGAUGCAGACACCAACUGUCUACCAUGAUGGUUUGUUCUGAAGAGUAACAUAUGAUUUGUGCAGCAGAAUUCCUCAUAAUAAUGAAGAAAACAAUGAGAGAUCAUGAAUGUUUGACCCCAUAUAUACACACACGUCUGCACAACUACCUACUGGCAAAUUCUCCUGGGGUGAGCAGUGGAAUUCAGUUCAGAAGUGAUCUUUUUUGGCAGAAACAAGUCAGGAGGAAUUCUACGUGAACACCAUCGGCCCUUGGUGUUAUGCCUGGCUCAAGCCAGCAUUAUCUGUCAUUCAGUUUCAGGAGCAUCUGACACACCUUUUCAUGCUGAGAGCUAAUUGCCCUAUUUUCAAACCUGGACCUGUCCCUCCAGUGAUAUUUUUCCAAUUGCAGUGAUAUAUUUGUGUAGCCAGCAAGCACUGCCAAAGCUAUAGCUAUUCUGGAGUGUCGUUGGGGUAGGGAGCAGGGGAAUUAUGCAGCAAUACAGUAAACAAAAGUAAA
rnacentral:lncRNA from 1 species